CAUGCAUGUUGACACAGCCAGCAGCGGGCACCCAUGGCACAUGGGGAUGGACCCAGGAGUGGAGGAUGACCCAAUAGGAUGAACGUUCAGCCCACUCACUGUUGACACCAGUGACACAGUAUUGACCAGAUCUCCUGGAAGUGCCCCCUGACGCAGACCCAGUUGUUGGGUAGCCACCCAUGCACGUUGACACAGCCAGCACCGAGCACCCAGGGGGAUGGAACCAGGAAUGGAGGAUGGUCCAAUAGGGUAGCAUCAUGAAGGCAGUUUACCCCUGAAACUUUUUACAAAGGACCAUCAUCGUCAGAGAAGUUCCUUUAACCCUUUAUCUCCC